CAGCCUGUAAACACCCCUUCAUCAGCAGGCCCUGCUCCCAACGUCUGAGGAGCUGGUUCACCAACAUCCUGCAAGGGCCUGCUGACAGCAUUUCCCACCUUUCUGCUCCGCCCUGCUGGCUCCUUUGACUUGCUCCCCAGAUGCAGAGUUGACAGUCCUGGUUUUGCCAGCCUUGCCCUUCAGGACAGGCAGGGCUCUGUGCUGGGAGCAGAGGUCUCAAGGGACUGCUGUGUCUGACCCUGAACCUGUAACCUCAGCCCUCUGUGUUCACUACACAGAACUCAGGUGGGCUUGUCUCAGGGCCAGGGGCCAGCGGAAGCCACCACCCCCGGUGAAGCCUCAGCCUCGAUGAGGCCCUGCUCAGACUGCACUGUGGGCUUCACGUUAGGAAGGUCUACUGGCCUGAAAGGUCUCAGAAGCCUGGCCCACACCUUCACCUUCUGUCUCGGGGCCCCUGCCUCCAGCUGCAGGACCGGACCAGGGGUUGUAUCCCCACCGUACACACACCUGGACUCUGCAGCUUCUAUGGCCGCCAUUGGAAGACUCUCCUGAGAGUGAGUGCAUUUGGUCCAAUUCCCUCCAGAGACUGGGAGAAGUGAUGGGGGAGGCUGGGUCUGGCUCCUUCCAGCCGGCGGAGAAAUUCCCACAUCUGAGCACCGCCCAAGAGGACAGUCAACCUUGUGGGCAGUGAGUCCUCUGUCAUUUUGAGAGACAAGGGACACAACACUCAUCUUACUCUAGUUGAAGCUAAACAGGAAGACCAUUAACUCAGCCACCCAACUCAGGGAAUGGCAGAGGCUGGGUUAUCCUGUCUGCAGAUCCAGGGUCUCCACAUUUUGUCCUGACCUCCCAUUCCUUCAAACCCCUCCAACAGGUCUGGAGGCCAAUCCCGAAGCUGUGAUUUAACAGGAAAGAAUGGUCUUCUCUUUUCAACAGCCACGUGUAAAACCCUAGGGACGGUGCCUGGCUGGCCUAGGUUGGGUGGUGCGCCCACCCCUUGCGCCAGUCACAGAGUCUGAGGGGAGGCACGGGUGAGGGUCCCUCUCUUCAGGAGAAACAUGCUGAGUGGCGCCAAUCUGAGCUCAGAGGAAAGUUUUCACGCCCGUACCAGACAAGAGGGGAACUCAAGCCCUAGGCAAGUGCUCUAAGUGCCUCUGGAAGGAGCUAUGAGGGGAAUUUCUUCUGGAGGAAGAGUUGGCCUAGACAUGCGGUAAGCCCCUCUCAGCUGCUCUCUGGACAUCACGUCUCACGCUCUGUGGGAGGGUCGUCCUCCCUGUCACUCCCGAGACUGCCCAGGCAGUGCGGGGCACGGGGAGGGGGCCUGUGCAUAAAUGACUAGAGCGCUCUCCACCGUGUAAAACCUGGGAGCUCUCACAGCUGUGAGUCUGGAGACGUCCUCAGAGGUUAGUCUGUCUCUGCAGCGGGCGUACACCCGGUCCCAAGGAGCCGUGAGCUUGGACCGGGUCUCCCGCUCCGCAGAAGCAGAUCUGCCCUUGGAUACAGGACUGCCUCCCCGCACAGCUCUGGGCCUCCACCCCAACCGUGGAGCAAAGGUGUGAGCUUGCCCUGAAGCUGUGGGUCAGCUGCAGAGCUCCUGCCACUCUCUGCGUGGACCCUGCUCUGUAAAGCCCCAGCCUUUCAGUUUCAUUCCCACGGCCACUCGGGGUGAUGCCUGUGGGGGUCCUGUAGGGACCUUAUGCUCUGAAGGCAAAGUGACAGAGCGAACUCUUUCUCUGGCUCGCCACCCCUUGUGCUGGCCAGUGGGCGAGCUUUUCCUGAGGCUGAGGUGAGCAGAUGGGUGAUUAAACAGAUACAGACAGGGGCAGUGUUCGUCUCAGGGCACAUCCCCCUCUCCUCGUGGAAAAGAAGCGUGUCGCGCACACAAACUUUUAAGCUGCAUUUGUGACUCCUGGAGAUGGAUCCAUGACUGUCUGUUAGCUGGAUGUGAUGCUCGUGGAGGGAACCUCAUACCAUCUCAUCAAGGAGUUGGUAUGGUUUUCUCCCAACAGGAUAGUGAGCUGCCUGGGCAGGCUUUCUUCACAUACACUCCUUCCCCAAGCACAGAUUCCAGAGUGCUAGGACCAUUCUAAAUCUCUGCCUCUCCAGUGGCCUUAAACAGCACCAAGAGCUCCUGAAGGACCAGGAGCAGGCAGUGAGAAGAGCUGGGUGGCCGUAGGUCUCCUAGGGGACCCUAACCUCAGCUCUGGCUGCCCGCCCAGGCUUCUGGAGCCUCCUUUGACUCUGACACCUGGCACUUUUUCCUCUCUCGCUCUCCAGUUCAGCUCUGCCUCCCGCGGAAGUGGGCAUCCAGCAUUCUGUGUGCUGUGGGGUAGGGGAGCAGAGUCUCUCUUAUCACUUCCCCGUGGGCAGGUGAGUGGGUUUUUCCCUCCUUUCCUUCCUUCCCUCCCUCCUUCUUUUCUUCUUAUGGAAACAUAAUUUACAUGGAGUAAAUCCCCAUUUUUGGUGUGUAGCUCUAUACGUUUUGAUAAAGGCACACAAUUGUGUGGACCUUCUCACAAUCAAGAUAGAGAACAUCUCCAUCACCCCAAAAUGUUCCUUGCCCUGUGCCCCUUUGUAAUCAACAAACUCACCCCCCUCCACCCCAAUAUGUGGCAACCACUGGUCUAUUUUCCAUCCUUUUAUACUUCUGCCUUUCCCAGGAUGUCAUAUGAGUGGAAUCAUACAGAAUGGAGCCCUCUGUGUCUGGCUUCUUUCUCUUCACAAAAUGUAUUUGAGAUGUACCCAUGUUGUCGUGUACAGCAGCGGUUUGUUCCUUUGAUUUUAUUUAUUGGACAUGUGUACCACAGAUUGUGUGAUUGUUCAUCCGCUCCCCUGUUAAAGAAAAUCUGGGUUGUUUCCAGCAGUAAGCUAUGAUGUCUAAAACAUUCCUGCACGGGUUUUUGUGUGAACAUAAGCUUUCAUUUCUCUCGGGUCACAUGGCAAGUGCAUGUUGAACUGUAUAAGAAACUGCCAAACUGUUUUCCAGAGUGGCUGUACCAUUUUUCAUUCCCACCAUCAGUGGAGGAAGGUUCUGGAUGCUCAGCGUUCUGGCUGGCACUUGGUAUUGUCAACAGAGUGAACUUCUCAAGAUGCAGAUCUGAUUAUGUGAGAAUGAUUUGAUGUCUUUUUAUUGCUUUUAGGCUGAAGACCUUUACAUGUCCUAGAAGACCUUGCCUGGUCUUGCUGUCUCCUCUCCGGCUUCCUCUGGCUCUAUUCCCUGCACUCCAGGCCUCCUUCUCUUCCCCUAGCAUCUAUCUCCAGGUGCUUCCUCCUGCCUUGGAGCCCUCUGCCUCAAAUCCUUUACCCUGAUCUUUGUUGGGUGAAUGCCUUCUCAACCUUCACAUCUCAGCUCCAGUACCCCUCCUCAGCUAAAUUUCCUGAUCCCCCAACCUAUAUGUGGGCCACCUGGUGGGCUUUCUCAUAACACACUGUGAUUUUUCCAUCAUAGCACUUAUCACAGUCUAGAAGCACAGAUUUAUCUCUGUGACCAUUAGAUUAAGGCCCAUCUCAGCCUCUAGCCUGUCAUCCUGUAGGCAGGAACCGUGUCCAUUUCACUUUCUAUUGUUUCUCCACUUUCCUUGUCACAUAGUGAGUAGUCAAUAAUGUCAUAAUUCAAACAGUGACUGGUGAGAUUCCCUAUAGCUGGAAUGGGCCUAGAAAGGACUUCAAACAAUUCGUGACUUCCGGCAGGUGUCUGACCUUUGUGAUGUGACGUAAGUCUCUCCUGCCGUCCCAGGGCUCGUACCGGCCACCGUCCUGUGCAUCAGACACCAAAGCCGGAUGAAGAGUGUGCGCUUCACUCUCCUUGCUGGAUCCUCCAUCCUGCCCGAGGUGGAACCCGCCAUCCUGCGCCUUCAUGGUGGGCCCAGUCUCUGACAUUUACAAGUUGCUUUGCUCGUUUUUCAAUCAGAUUUUGUGGUUUUUGUUCUUCAUUUUUUUAUUAUGAAAUAUUUUGCCAUGGCAAAAAAUGGCACAGAGGAGCGUAUUACAUACAUCUAUGUUCCCACCCCCUGGAUAAAAGAGAAACCAUUUCUGACACAAAUAAAGCCCUCUGCUCUCUCCAAUCCUUAUUUCCUCUCUAAAGGAAAUCUGGAAAGUCUGGAAUUCGGUGGUUAUUAUUUUCACGUGUGUUAUCGUAUUUUCUCUACAUAUGUGAGUAUCCAUAAACCAUUUAUAGUGUUUUUCAAAUUUUAAGACUCUAUAUAAAUAUUAUUGCAUUGUAUGUAUUUUUACGAACUCUGGCUUCUUCCCAAUUUUAUGUUUGUGAGAUUUAUCCAUGCUGUAUUUAUAGCCUUGGCUCGUUUAUUUUUAUUGCUGUGAAAUAUGUUAUUUUUUCCAAUGUACCAUAGUUCUUUCUUCUUUCACUGACAAGGAGUGAAGUUGUUUCCAGUUUUUGCUCUAACAAAUAAUGCUGACUUGAGCGUUCUUGUCUGUCUUCUUUCUGCACAAGAGUUUCUCUAACUUGGGUGGACAGUAAUGUUGUAAGAUUUGCACUCCUUGUUAUUGCGAAACCCUGGCUGGUAGGUUGUACCUGUGGCCACAAAUGAGAUUUUCCAUGAUUCUUCACCUUUGCCAUCACAGAGUGUUAUCUGACUCUUCACUUUUAUUAAUAAUGGAAGGAAAAUGGAAACCCAUAAUGCAGUUUAAUUUGUAUUUCCCAGUGACUGCAGCCAUGAAAUUAAAAGAUGUUUACUCCUUGGAAGGAAAGUUAUGACCAACCUACACAGCAUAUUGAAAAGCAGAGACAUUAUUUUGCCAACAAAGGUCCGUCUAGUCAAGGCUAUGGUUUUCCCAGUGGUCAUGUAUGGAUAUGAAAAUUGGACUGUGAAGAAGGCUGAGCGUCAAAGAAUUGAUGCUUUUGAACUGUGGUGUUGGAGAAGACUCUUGAGAGUCCCUUGGACUGCAAGGAGAUCCAACCAGUCCAUUCUGAAGGAGAUCAGCCCUGGGUGUUCUUUGGAAGGAGUGAUGAUAAAGCUGAAACUCCAAUACUUUGGCCACCUGAUGCGAAGAGUUGACUCAUUGGAAAAGACUCUGAUGUUGGGAGGGAUUGGGGGCAGGAGGAGAAGGGGACGACAGAGGAUGAGAUGGCAUCACUGACUCGAUGGACGUGAGUCUGAGUGAACUCCAGGAGUUGGUGAUGGACAGGGAGGCCUGGCGUGCUGCGAUUCAUGGGGUCACAAAGAGUCGGACACGACUGAGCAACUGAACUGAACUGAACUGAAUGACCAGUGAGAUGAUCAUCUUUCUAGCAGGGCCUUUCAUACUUCAUCUGAGAAAUGUCUCUUCACGGAUUCCGCCCAUCUGACCGUUGCACUGUUUGUCUUUCUGUUACAGCUUCACAGGAGUCACUCGCGUGUCACCAGCCCUCAUUCUCCGUCAGUCAUCUGGGUAACACGUUCCCUCUCCCAAUGAGUGAUCAUCUUUCUACUUUGUUGGUGGUGACUUCUGUGGUCAUCAUGCUGUGAACUUCAUCCGAGCUACUGCAGCUAGCAAGAACUCAUUUACUCUUUUGGCUGCGUGAUAUUCCACAGUUAACUAUAAAACUGCCCCAGCAGCCCUUUGACAGUAUGGUGUGCCGGUGAACUGCUGCCUGUCCAAUCCAGAUUCCGCUAUUGAAAGUCUACCUUGACCUUUCAACCUGAUGCCUGACAUUACCUAAAGGGGCCAAGCUGGCUUUGGCCUGAAGCCAAACAAGAUGACGCUACAUCCUGACUGCUUUGCCGAUUGUUUCUCCCCAUUCUGCAUGUGGGCUGUUUUAUAACCUGCACUCCUCAAACUCUGAUCAGUGAUCACCUUAAGCCUGAUCUUAGUGAGGCAAAAUGAAGACUUUGUGAUAAAUAGUGGUUUCUGCCAAAAACCUGUCUAUGACAGAGAAUUGGGGGAAUCUGAAAACCGAAACGAGUUUGGUCAAGUUGGGAAAAGCAGCGUGGCAAGUCGGACUGGCAGCCCUAGAGACCUGAGGGAGAGGGUGACCGACAUGACUAUAGCUGGGUUUCUGUUUGUGAGCUGGACAUGUUUCCACAGUUUAACUGCAGACACAGCCUCUAUAGGCAUGGCUACAAUGUUCCCGGCUUUGUGUUGAGCACAUAACAUGCAUUUGUUGUUUGAUUGUCGUGGGGUGAAUGGAGGACCCCUCCAAACACACGCCCACAUCCUAACCUCCGGACCCCAUGAAUAGGACCAGAUUUAGAAAAAGGACCUUUGCAGACAUAAUGAAGUUAAGGAUCUCGGGAUCGUCUCUGAUUAACCAAGUGGGCCCUAUACCCAACGCCAAGAAUCUUUAUAGAAGACCCAGAGAGAGACAGGUGAGGAAGCCCACGAGAAGACAGGGGGCAGAGAGUGGAGUGAGACGGCCACAGGCCAAGGAAAACCCAGACUCACCAGGAGCUGGGAGAGACAGGGACUUUCCCCCUCGAGCCUUCGGAAGGAGCACGGCCAUGCUGAUGCCUUGAUUUUGGACUUCUGGCCUUCAGAAUGGUGACAGAAUGCUUUUCUGUCGUAAGGCACCCAGCUUAUAGCAAUUUGUGAUGGCAGCUCUAGGAAACGAUGAUUCCUUCAACUGCCCUGGGAAAUGGGCAUGUCAGUGACAUGCCCAAGGUCACAACCUAACUCCUGUGGGAUUCCAUUUACUUCUGUCAGAAAAAUGAGGAUGUUGGAAUAAAAGGUUGAAAUGUAUUCCCCCAAGUUUCCCAUAAACGUGUGAAUAAAUUGAGGUUAUCGCCAGAGGCUGUAAGAGGCUUUAGCAACAUGGCCUCUUGCUGCCCUCUAGUGGUCAGGAUGGUGAAUGUCACCACGUUGUCUCCGUCGUUUCUAGCUCCGUGUGUGCGCGCGCGCGCCUGUGUGUGUGUGUGUGUGUGUGUGUGUGUGUGUGUGUGUGUGUGUGAGUCUCUCUCAGUCGUGUCUAAGUCUUUGAGAUCCCAUGGACUGUAAGCCCACCAAGCUUCUCUGUCCAUGGAAUUUUCCAGGCAAGAAUACUGGAGUGUGUAGCCAUUCCCUCUUCCAGGGAACCUUUCCCCACCCAGGGAUCAAACCCAGGUCUUCUGCAUUGUAGGCGGAUUCUUUACCAUCUGAGACACUAGGGAAGCCCAGCUCCACCGAGAACCAGUAAAAAGCUGUGCACUUUAGCAGAAUAAAACUUAAGAAAUGUCUCUCUGUGCUCUACCAGGGUCCGCCUACAAGAAGAGAGAUUAUGUUCACUUCAUUAGGGCACAUCCAGCCACCCAGCGCUGAGCCCUGAAGAGGAGAGGAGGCAAGGUGCAGCAGCAGGGCCUGGUGGGACUGGUCCCCCGCCUACUCCUGGGUGAACCUGGGCGUGGUGCAGCCCUCUUGGAGCUGCCCGUUCCUCGUCUGUGAAAUGAGCACAAUACUUGCCUCACACUAUGAGACGAAAUGAUAUAAAGUGCCCAGCACAUGGCAGGCCCUCAACAAAGGUUGAUACGCGAUACAUUUUGUGUGAAAGAAAUGCGAUCACCUACAUAAAGGACAGGGGUUUCCCUGGUGGCUUAGUGGUAAAGAAUUCACCUCCCAAAGCAGGAGAACGCGUGUUCGCUCCCUCGGUCAGGGAGAUCCCCUGGAGAAGGAAAUGGCAGCCCGCUCCAGUAUUCUUGCCUGGGAAAUCCCAUGCACAGAAGAGCCUGGUGGGCUACAGUCCAUGGGGUCACAGAAGAGUCGAACGUGACUUAGCGACUAAACAACCACAACACAAAACAAAAUGUCAGAGCCUAGAAGAGAGCCAUAAAUGGUGUGUGAAUGAGAAGGAAGCAGGAGGGUAUUCGGGGGGGAAUCCUGGACUUGUCAGAGCUUUGGGGCCUGAUUUAUUAGCCCUGAGACACACUCACUCUGUGUCACUUCUCUGGACCUCAGCUUUGUCAUCUGUGAAAUGGAAAGUUGAAGAAAAGAAUCCAGUAACUGAAAGCCCAUGGACAGUGACUUAAUCCAUUGACCAAAUCUGUCCUGCCACUUGUUUUCAUGCAGCCCGUGAGCUAAAAAUGAUUUUUACAGUUUAAAUGGCUGAAAACAAUCAAGAGAAGAACUGUUUUAUGACGUGUGAAAAAAUAUGAAAUUCAAAUAUGUGUCUGCAAAUCAAGUUCUGUUGGAAUCUAGCCAAGCUCAUUUUUUAUGUUUUGUCCAUGGUUCCUUUCUUGCUAAAACAGCAGAAAUGAGGCGUUGGUUUAGAAAGCUGAAAAUAUCUGACCCUUCACAGAAAAAGUUAGCCAACCUCCAGCUUAACCAAGAAAGCUAUUUGAAGCUCAGAAUGACAGCAUUCUGGGUUUACAUCUCAGCAGUCGUCUUGACCUUUCCUUGGGUCUCAUGGUGCCAGCCUCAGUUCCGUGAAUCACGAGCUAUAUUCACUACAAUAAGUAAGGAGCAGGGAGGAAGGCUCCCCUGCCAUGGCACUUUUAUCCAGGAAGAGAAUACUUCCCAGAAACCCUGUGUGUGUGUGUGUGUGUGGGCGGGGGGGGAGUGUUAGUUUCUUAGUCGUGUCCGUUUCUUUUCGACCCCGUCGACUAUAGCUUGCCAUGCUCCCCUGUCCAUGCGAUUCUCCAGGCAAGAAUACUGGAGUGGGUAGCCAUUCCCUUCUCCAGAGGAACUUCCUGACCCAGGGAUUGAACCCAGGUCUCCUGCAUUACGAGCAGAUUCUUUACCAUCUGUGCCACCAGGGAAGCCCCUCCCAGAAGCCCUACCAGUUGUUUAUAAGAAGAUAAGAGCACGGGAGAGCAGAGGGACUAACUGCAAGGACUCAAGUGACUGAUGGGGAUGGCCUGAACUGAGAGGAUGAAGAUGGUGAGAUGUGGACAGAUUCUGGAUACUUUCUGGGGGGAUUUCUGCUGGACUGAUUGGGUAGGGGUGGAAGGCAGAGAAAAUGGGGACCGAGGGUCGUAUCCACAUAUUUGGCUUAAACCACUGGGAAGCUCCUGGGAUUAUUGGACAAGUUUUACAGAAAAGGUAACUUUUAGGAAUGAAUCCAAAUGUAUUUCUUACAUAAGAGCUUUGACUGCACGUGUGUGUGUGUGUGUGUGUGUGUGUGUGUGUGUGUGUGUAUCCUCUCUUACUGGGAUGCUCCCGUGCCCAGCAGGUUGGCGAGGGGGCAGAGGGGUAGAGUAGUGCUCACCACCAGCAGGUUGGCACGGGCUUGCUGCUGUAGCAACUUACUGAUCCCGGCCCUCACAGCAUGCUCACCACAUGCCAUGUGCUGUGCAAAGUGCUACCAAUAUUAACAGAUGUAAUCCUCAGAACAACCCAGAAGCCCCUUUACCAAUUCUCAUUUUAUUGAUGAGGAAAUCUGGGAUUCAGGAAAGUGAGGUGAUGUGCCCCAAAUGACAGCAUGGCUGGUGGCAAAGCCAACAUUUGAACUUGAGCCAUCGGAUUUCAGAGUCUAGGCUUACGAACAGCCCCUUCCAGCCACAGCAAAGGAAGGCAGGGCAGAGUGCUGAGCAGUUUGUCUUCCUUUCAGAGUCUCUAAAUGUAAAAACACUUAAGUGCUGGCACAUAGUAAGUGCUCACUAAAGUAUAAUAAUUGCUGUUAUUUUUAUUAACACCAAGGAACCUGGCAGGCUACAACCCUCUUGAGUGGCCAUGUUCUGUAGGAGGCAGAAGAUGCAAGUUGGGGGAGAAAUUGAUUUAUAUCAGAUGCCAAACCAUCAAAAAUAACUGGCAGGAGAGAAGAAAUCAGACAGAGUGUGUGAGUGUCUUUAUUUCUCUUUAUUUGUUGUCACACUGUUACAGUUAAAGAGUGGAAAUUUAGCAAGAAAAAGAACACAAGUCUGCCCACAUUCUUCUAGAUUUACAUUCUUUUCACUUAUUGAAAAAGGAAAAAAAAUUGGACCAAAUGUUAAAAACAUGAAAAAAAUCAAAAGGCAAGAAAUAUGGAGGGGAAAAAAAUCAGACUGGCAGCUAUGUGGAAAUUGAAAAAUGCAAAUAACAUGGAGCUUGUUUCAAUUAUCUGACGCCCCCAUGCUGGAAUUGAUUACUGCUGUUGGGAGGAGAAAAAGGGAUGAGAGAAUUCUGCAAAUGAGAUCCUCAGAUCUUUCGUGAGAAAUUCAAUCCCAGACACAAAAGUGCUAGAGGGGCAGGUUGAGAGGUGAAGAAUGUGAGAAUUCCCUUUUGAGGGGAGCUGGCAAGAAUUCCUUGCUCUAGGGUUGAUGUCCCUGUAGUAACAAGGAUUUACCUCCAGGGGGCAUCCAACUUCCUGCACCAGAAAGAUGAGGUUCCAGGGUCCGCGGUGGGAAAGGGAGAGGCCCUGGUAGACUUGGAACCCCGAAGGCAGGGCAGCUCUGGCUGCCUCAGCAAUGCUCUCUCCAUUCAGAAAGGUCUUGAGUAAGGUCUUCUGAAGUCAAAACCAAACCACAAAAGAGAAACGGUACACAAGAAAAAGAAAGCAGCCAUGGGCAGAAGAGAGCCGCGCUUUUCAAAUCAGUCAUUCCAGAAGGAAAUUUGUGGUCAGGAAUGGCUGCCCAUGAGAACUGCUUUUCUGGGAAUGACAGAAAAUGUCUCAUUAAGGAGGAAAUGAAGGUGACCCCCUAAAUAAGAGGUCAACAAACUUUUUUUGUCAAGGGAAGGUUAGUAAAUAUUUUAGGCUUUGCAGACAGUUGGGCUCUGUUGCAACAAUACUGGCAUAGUGUGAGAUUAGCCGUAGACAAUGAGUAAGCCAAUGACCACGACUGUGUUCCAAUAAGUUUAUUUACGGACACUAAAAUUUGAAUUUCACUGUGAAGAGAAUAGAAAGACAAGCCACAGACUGGCAGAAGAUAUUUGCAAAAAGCGUCUGAUACGCAAAAUAUACAAAGAAUUCUUAAAACUCAACAAUGAGAAAAUAACCCAAUUAGAAAAUGAGCAGCAGAUCUGGACAGACACCUCACCAAAGAAGACACACAGAUGUCACGUAAGCGUAUGAAAAGAUGCUCAACAUCAUAAGUCAUUAGGGAACUGCACAUUAAAACAACGAGUACCACUACACACCACCUAGAAACGCUAAAAUCCGAAACGCUGACAUCAAAUGCUGACAAAGACGUGGAGUCACAGGAACUCUCACACAUUGCUGGUGGGAAUGCAAAAUGGUACAGCUACUUUGGAAGACUGGUUGCUGCUGCUGCUAAGUCGCCUCAGUCGUGUCUGACUCUGUGCAACCCCAUAGACGGCAGCCGACCAAGCUCCCCCGUCCCUGGGAUUCUCCAGGCAAGAACCCUGGAGUGCUUUGCCAUUUUCUUCUCCAAUGCAUGAAAGUAAAAAGUGAAAGUGAAGUCACUGAGUCGUGUCCAACUCUCACCGACCCCAUGGACUGCAGCCUACCAGGCUCCUCGGUCGAUGGGAUUUUCCAGGCAAGAGUACUGGAGUGGGGUGCCAUUGCCUUCUCCUGGAAGACUGGUGGUUUCUAGCCAAACCAAACAUACUGUACCAUCCAGCAAUCACACUCCUUGGUAUUUAUCCAAAUGACUUGAACAUUUACGUCCACGCAAACGGGCAUGCAAAUGUUUCUAACAACCUUAUUCUUAUUUGCCAAAACUUGAAAAUGACCAAGAUGACCUUCAGUAGGUGAAGGGGUAAACAAGCUGUGGUCCAUCCAGACAGUGGUGUGUCACUGAGCAAUAAAAGAGAUGAGCUAACAGGCCAUGAAUAUACACAAAGGAUAUUCAAACGUGUGUUACCAAAUGAAAGGGGCCAAUCUGAAAAGGCUCCGUACUGCAUAAUUCCAACUGGUUGAUGUUCUAGAAAAGGCAAAACUAUGCAGACGGUACAAAGGUCAGUAGAUGCCACAAACUGGGAAGGAGGAGGAAGGAUGGAUAAAUGGAGGCUAGGCAUAUGUGCAGAGGAUUUUUAGGGCAGUGAAGCUAUGCUGUGUGAUACUGUGAUGGUGGAUACAUGUCUUUAUAUAUUUGCCAAAAUCCAUAAAAUAUACACCAUCAGGUGUGCCUGUGUGUUUGUGCCCAGUCAUGUCCGACUCUUUGCAACCCCGUGGACUAUAGCUCACCAGGCUCCUCUGUCCAUGGGAUUUCCCAGGCAAGAAUACUGAAGUGGGUUGCCAUUUCCUUCUCCAAGGAAUCUUCCCAAGGAGUGAACACUAAUGUAAACUAUAGACUUUAGUUCAUAAUAAUGUACCAACAUUGGCUUAUCCGUUGUAACAAAUGUACUUCAUUAAUACAAGAUAAUUGAAGGCCAUGGAGUGGUAGCAGUAGUGGGUAUGUGGAAACUCUGUACAUGCGGCUCUUUAUUUUCUGUAAACUUAAAACUAGUAAAAAAAAAAAAACCAACAAAAUAAAGCCUAUUAAAAAAAGAAAGGAAAAUAUUUUCGAUUUCAUAUAUUUUCAUGUGUCAAAAUAUUCUUUUUUUGAUAGUGUAAAAAGCACUUUUAGCUUGUUCAUACAAAAAUAAGAUCAUACAAAAAUAAGUGGAUUUGGUGGAUUUGGCCAGCAGGUAUUUUGCCAGCCCCUAACGCUGU
ensembl:lncRNA